GAAACCCUGCGAUGUUUGUGUAGCCGUUAAAAGUUUUGAGCUAACACUUAGAACUUGGGAGCUUGUCUCUGGAUGCGGCACAUAUGCCUUGAUCACAAAGGACAUGUAAAGCAGCCAGGAAAGUACCCACCUGUGGGGAGAGAGUUCAAAACAAAACGGUUAUCACGGCAUAGUGGGGUUUUU
rnacentral:other from 2 species